AAUGAACGCUGGCGGCAUGCCUAACACAUGCAAGUCGAACGAAGGCUUCGGCCUUAGUGGCGCACGGGUGCGUAACGCGUGGGAAUCUGCCCUUGGGUUCGGAAUAACAGUUAGAAAUGACUGCUAAUACCGGAUGAUGUCGUAAGACCAAAGAUUUAUCGCCCAAGGAUGAGCCCGCGUAGGAUUAGCUAGUUGGUGGGGUAAAGGCCCACCAAGGCGACGAUCCUUAGCUGGUCUGAGAGGAAGAUCAGCCACAAUGGGACUGAGACACGGCCCAGACUCGUACGGGAGGGAGCAGUGGGGAAUAUUGGACAAUGGGCGAAAGCCUGAUCCAGCAAUGCCGCGUGAGUGAUGAAGGCCUUAGGGUUGUAAAGCUCUUUUACCCGGGAUGAUAAUGACAGUACCGGGAGAAUAAGCUCCGGCUAACUUCGUGCCAGCAGCCGCCGUAACAC
rnacentral:rRNA from 1 species